rnacentral:lncRNA from 1 species
CAUGUUUUAACUCUUUACACAGCUCCAGAGUACAGGUCAAACAGCCUUUCUCUGCCCAGACCGAGCGGGGGGCAAACAGCUCACAGGGAGGAAAUGACCCCCCUGAUUUUUGUGGCCUUUCAUUUUCCCUGUAACAGGAAGAUGGAUCCCUGAAGGCUUCAGCUCCAUCUGCGGAGGAGGGCAUUUAUCCUGGCUCAAUAAACUCCAGUACUAAUUUACCCAGAACCUGACAGUUUUGCAGUGUUUGCUGCUAGUUCUUUGCUAAUGCUUUUGGGUAAAACACAUAUUUCGAAGCCAUUCUUACAGAAGGUGAGGAAAAUCCAAACCAGACAACCAGUGAGAACACCAAUGUGUUGGUGACAGUCACAGAUUAGCACCACUAAUGCUCUUAUUCCUUCAUUUCAGGUACUACAGUCUCCACAGACUCCUCCGUCCAGGCUGUAACAGGUCAAUCCCAAUCGACAACACACAGCCCUGAAGUGAAGAACCACACCUCAGAGCCUUCAGUAAAAUCGAUGACACCAGCUGACCUGAAUCUCACCUCCGUGGGUCAGACGACGACAGCCAAAUCCUCUUCGCUCGCUACAACGCUACUGGCGUUGAUCAUGCAAGAUGAGAAAUCUAGUGACAGCAGAAGCACAGCAGCUUCACCACCUCAAGGUCAAGAGCCCAAGACAAGCGAGAGUGCCACGACAUCCACAACUCAAGGUGCUUCCUCCUUCCUCUCACAGAGAGGCACCUCAAAACCCGUCACACCAACACCGGAGUCCUCUGGCUACUUGCCUGAGCCCACUCCGACGGAUGACAAGUCACCGCUGACGGUGGUAGCUUUUGGUAAGGUCUUGUGCAACCUGGGGAGAGGAAGGGGGGUCUGGUUCGGACACCCAGCUUCAAAGAUGCUUCCCUGGAGAUGGCUCCACAGUUUUCUCCUUCAGUGUGCCUGCUCCUGGAGUUUUCAGAGUGCAAGGGAAAACCCUAGAGAAAAAGACUUGCCACCAACAGGCAAUAAAGCACCUAAUAAAUACUCCCAGCCGUGCCCAGUAUACAAGGGACAGACAGUUUGGAAAUCCACCACGGCUACACCUGAGCUUGGGAUCUUGCUCCCAGCACCAGUGUUUGCCCCAGCUCCACAUUAG